AACAACAUGGCCGGACCUCUUCAACUGAGAGGAUUUGGACGCCGCUUUUCUCACAUAAUUUACAAUUUUUCUCUACAUGAAACUAACUUUAUGUUUUUAUUGCCCGUUCUGGGACAAUCCAAAGAACUGAACUAUACCUAUUAGAGGCAAUAAAAUCUGCCUUGAAGUCAAACAAAUUGCUGUAUAUAUGUGAGAGCGUCUUGGACCGGACCAAGGAAGAGGCAUGCGAGCAAAGGUGGGCGUGCACGGCAGGGCCUUUGUACUAAAGGGACCCCAACGAGGGACGGCAGCACACAGCCUCUACACUCGAUGAUUUCUUUCUGAGCUGUUGUGUCUUGAAGGAAGGUGUCUAUGGAAUGUGUGAUAUUGAAGAUUCUGGCUGUCAGUGAAGUUAAAGGUUUCUAUGGAGUGUGUAGUAUUGGUUUUUCUGACGAUGUGGAGUUUUACAAAGGUAAGACAAGAAUUUUUGGACAUCUUAAAGGUGAGGGACCGGCUAACCCGUUUCCUCCCCAUGUCUCAGACACCCUUGAUGUACAGAUACUUGUCAAUGUUGUCCUUAAGUUGUCCGUGUGGACUCUAGUGAUGCUUUUUGGUUUCUAGUAGCAUGUUGGUCAUGGCCAGUGAUGCUGUACAUUUUUUCUUUUUUAAGUCAAUGGAAAUUUUCUGGGAUGUUGAAGCUAAUGGAUCGACAUUGUCAUGUUUACUUUUCUGUUGCCAUAAAGCAAUUAGGUAUAAUAUGCUUAACUUUUUAAAAUCUUAACUGAACCAAAGCACAAUCCCUCCAUCCUUCUGCAUGUCAAAGUAGAUGCAACCCCAUACCUUCUGUCAGCAUUUAUGUAAAUAAUGCAAUUGUGCUGACAAAAUAAUUGUGUCAUUGAAUUUAAGUUGAUACAAAUUCUUGUCGGAAAUACUAAAAAAAGAUUAUUCGGAUAAGUUAAAAUAAACAGGAGAACAUCAAUAAAUUGCAAAAACAAUCUUAAUUUAAAAAAAAGAAAGAAUAUUUAAUGAAUAAUUUAGAAAUGCUAAAUUAUCUUUGAUAUUUCUGAUGUAAAGAUCACAAAAGUUUGUGACCCUCCCCCUCACAGUCAAUUGCUUAUAAAUCCUUGAAGGAGGAUUUAUAUAAAUAAGUUUUAGGGUAAAGCGCUCUUCUUCUUUUUGGUCUGAUAAAGUACUUAGAUUUUUAAUUUAUGACCCAGACAAUAUACAUACAUAAAAUCAGUAAAGAUAAAUAAAUACCGAAAUUCAACUUUAUAACCAUGUUUAGGGAAAACCCAUCUUGAACACAUAGACCUAUAUGAAGAAAGCUAACCAUGCAGUCACUUAGGCCAAAUAUUUUGAUAAAAUUUGAUUAAAAUUGCAAACAAAAGCGCUGCGACUAAAACAAUUGAAGAGAAGAGAGAAUUGACAACUUACCCAAAGCAAAUGUCAGAGUCUUGCACCACUUUUCAACCUGGUCCUGACGUCUGUGAGAUGCAGAUCCUGUGUGAAGAAUGUAUAAGUGAGAGGUAUGUAAGUAUAAUGGUGAGUCAGUGAGGCCUAAAAAAAUAGCAGAAUUCAGGCCCAGAAAAUAGACUAACUGCGUUUUGUUUAACAGGGUAGUCAUCAGGUAAUGUAUUUACUUAGUCUUGGUUUCAAGUGUCUGAUUUUUAGUUGUUCGCCUCAAACAUCUUUGCAAAAUGAAACAAUACAAAAACAUUGAAACAUUUAAAAAUGUAACCACUUGAGCCAAGACUAAGUAAUUGUGAAGAAUCUACCACUGGUGCGUGACCUGGGGACAGAUGGGCUCCAGAGGAAGUGACACUACCGGAAGUACAUUGACUGCAGUAAUCGUUAAGUAUCAUGGUAAAGUAUUAGGGGUAAGAUAAAGCUAACCCUUUUUCUUCACAGCUUCUAACCGCUUCUUUUUACAGGUGCUAAUGUUUCUUUUUGUUUUCCACAGAAAAAGAAAUGAACAUGACUUCAACCAUGGUCAGGUUAAGUAUCCCGGGGUGAAUUUCACAAAGAGUCCUGAAAGAGUCACUAGUCCUGAAACAAAUAGCUCAGUCCUAGGACGAGUAACUCUUCCUAACACAAGAUAACACUAGUCUUAACUUUUUGUGAAAUUGACCCCCGGUAAAGUAUUAGGGGUAAGGUUGGACAAAGCUAGCCACUUUUAUUUCACAGCUUUCUCGCCACUUCUUUUACAAGUGCUUAUGUUGUGUGUGUUUUUUUUGUGUUUUUUUUACAGCAUUAGAAGAAACCCUGUGACUCCAACCAUGGCUAAGUAUUACAAUUAGAACAACAGCAACUUCCUGGACUUCAGCCAAAAGUAUAAUUCGUAGGUCACAUACCAAAGCAGUAAGGAGCGAUUGAGAUCUCAGGAAUAGGCCUAGUUAAGGCAGAGUUGCACUACAGCGACAGCGAUAGUGAUAACGAUAACGAUCACGACGCAAAGAGAACGCAUUCUAUUGGUUGAAUAAGCAAGUGCGUACUCGGCGU